CGAGUUUGAUCCUGGCUCAGGACGAACGCUGCGCGGUGCGCCUUAUGCAUGCAAGUCGAGCGAAGCUUUUCAGUAGUUUACUACAGAAAAUGACUGAGCGGCGAACGGGUGAGUAACGCGUGAGCAACCUACCUUAGUUACUGGGAUAGCCCGAGGAAACUCGGAUUAAUACCGGAUAUUCUUAUUUAAUCACAUGAUUUUUUAAGGAAAGGUCAGCCGAACUAAGAUGGGCUCGCGUUCUAUCAGCUAGUUGGUAGGGUAAUGGCCUACCAAGGCUACGACGGAUAGCUGGUCUGAGAGGACGAUCAGCCACACUGGGACUGAGACACGGCCCAGACUCCUACGGGAGGCUGCAGCAGGGAAUAUUGCGCAAUGAGCGAAAGCUUGACGCAGCGACACCGCGUGUGGGAUGACGGAUCUAGGUUUGUAAACCACUUUCAGGAGGGAAGAAAAUGACGGUACCUCCACAAGAAGCCCCGGCCAACUACGUGCCAGCAGCCGCGGUAAUACGUAGGGGGCGAGCGUUGUCCGGAUUUAUUGGGCGUAAAGAGCUCGUAGGCGGUUCAACAAGUCGGUCGUGAAAGUUCAGGGCUCAACCCUGAAAUGUCGAUCGAUACUGUUGUGACUAGGAUACGGUAGAGGUGAGUGGAAUUCCGAGUGUAGCGGUGAAAUGCGUAGAUAUUCGGAGGAACACCAAUUGCGAAGGCAGCUCACUGGGCCGCUAUCGACGCUGAGGAGCGAAAGCUAGGGGAGCAAACAGGAUUAGAUACCCUGGUAGUCCUAGCUGUAAACGAUGGAUACUAGAC
rnacentral:rRNA from 1 species